GAGGGGUGUAAGCGUUAUUCGGAUUUACUGGGCGUAAAGGGUGCGUAGACGGCGCAUUAAGUCUGUUGUUAAAUUUUUCGGCCUAACCGAAAAGCUGCGAUGGAAACUGGUGUGCUAGAGAAUGAGAGAGAGAAGUGGAAUUCCCGGAGUAGCGGUAAAAUGCGUGGAUCUCGGGAGGAACACCAAUGGCGAAGGCAGCUUCUUGGCUCAUUUCUGACGUUGAGGCACGAAAGCGUGGGGAGCAAACAGGAUUAGAUACCCUGGUAGUCCACGCCGUAAACGAUAAUCACUAGACGUUAGUCCCGGCUUUGCUGGAUUAGUGUCGUAGCUAACGCGUUAAGUGAUUCGCCUGGGGGAGUACGAUCGCAAGAUUAA
rnacentral:rRNA from 1 species